UACGUAGGUGGCAAGCGUUAUCCGGAUAUAUUGGGCGUAAAGGGAACGCAGGCGGUCUUUUAAGUCUGAUGUGAAAGCCUUCGGCUUAACCGGAGUAGUGCAUUGGAAACUGGGAGACUUGAGUGCAGAAGAGGAGAGUGGAACUCCAUGUGUAGCGGUGAAAUGCGUAGAUAUAUGGAAGAACACCAGUGGCGAAAGCGGCUCUCUGGUCUGUAACUGACGCUGAGGUUCGAAAGCGUGGGUAGCAAACAGG
rnacentral:rRNA from 1 species